UACGUAGGCAGCAACCGUUGUUCGGAAUUACUGGGCGUAAAGAGUGUGUAGGCGGCUUUGUAAGUUCUGUGUGAAAUCUCCCGGCUCAACUGGGAGGGUGCGCCGAAUACUGCAAGGCUUGAGUACUGGAGAGGAUAGCGGAAUUCCUGGUGUAGCGGUGAAAUGCGUAGAUAUCAGGAGGAACACCGGCGGUGUAGACGGCUAUCUGGACAGUAACUGACGCUGAGACACGAAAGCGUGGGGAGCAAACAGG
rnacentral:rRNA from 1 species